CCCACCCCUAGCUACCCCAGACCUUGGCAGGUGACCGUCACAGGUAUGCACCAUCACACAGGACUGGGCAAAAUCUUGACAAGGUGCUUGCAAACUUGGAGGUUGGGAGGUGGUAUUCAAGGCUGCUUGUAGAAAGAGCCUUAAGAAAGGGCUGGCCAGGGCCAGGAAGAGGCCUUCUUGGACCUCUGCAAAUGGGCCAAAUAACAGCCCACUCUGAGGAGGAACAUCAUAAAGUACUUGUUCCAUUGAUGUCCUUGGUUCCUGCUGGGGGAGGCCAAGGAUGGGAAACUGAGGCCCAUGAAGGGGUCCCCAAGCUGGCCUGUUCUCCAGGGAUGCAGCCACCCACUGUGUGCUCAACACAGCUCUGGGCAGGGUAUCCUUUUGUUCUUUCUGUGAGUCUUCUUUCCUCCAGGUCUCCUUUCCUCUGAUGCCCUCUCAGCACACAGUCUCAGAGUUACCCAAGGUCACGGAGCUGCAAGGGGAGCAGAAUGAGGCCAUUACACCAGCCUCUAAUGUCCCCGCGGCCUCAGCUCGCUAGCUGCCUCGAUCAAGCACCCGGGACACUCCAAUUUCCGCCUGUCCUGAGGUGAUCGUAUCAGGGCCUGAGUGAUCUCCUUGCCGGCGGGCAGUGGAGAUGCUGUGGCAGCAAGCUGGCUGUUCCCCUACUCGGCCACCUUCUGAGUCCACACAUCCUCUCCCUUGGGAACAAAAGGGAGGCACCAGCUGAGACCAUUGGCUGAGAAAUGGCUGGCAGGAUGUCUCCCUGCGCUUCACCCUUGCCCUGUAAGAGUUCAGACUUAGUUCAGCUGCUGGCUGGCCAGGAGCACCAGCCAUUGCCCAUCACUC
rnacentral:lncRNA from 1 species